AUGCAUAUGUAUACAACUCCUGUGUAAUAGAUAUUGUGAUGAUUCCUUUCAGCUGGUUUCUUCUUAUCUCUUUCCACUUUGACUAAGUUGGAUAACCUUUAGCAUAUGAAAAUGGUAAUAAUCAAAUAUAUUUCUUCGGAGCAUGCAGGCCAGCCUAAACUCUUGCUCUAUUCAAAUGUAAAUUUCAUCUUUUCAGCUAUUUUAUUGUGUUGGGUAUUUCUCCAUAAAAUUGUGAAUCGUUAACAGUCCUGCACUUGAGGCAUGGUCCAGAAAUAGGUGCAGUCAGAUCCCAGAGGCGUUACAUACCCUUUAUAUAUACCAGUUAUCCUUGUUCUUCCUCACUUUCUUCCCUCCCCCUGCAUUUUCAGUGUGUAAGCCAAGUAACACACACUCUGCAGCAGAACCUUUAUCACCUUAUAUGUAUUGGGAGAUAUUUAGCACACUCCAGGGGACUGUGAAAUCCUGACUAUUAGGUUUCUUCAUAACUGGUGCUGUGAAAAUAUUUGAAGUUGGUGGCUUUUAAUAUCGCAUGGCCCACAUAGCCACUUUAGUGCCUUGUCUAGCUGGGAAGGUGGCUGGGGGGGAUACAAACAAGAUUUUUUUUUUUCUUUUUCACUCUCACUAAAAUCAACUCACAUUCACUUGCUCUUGGUUUCAUAAUGUUCCAUAUUGAAGUAGAGCAACACCAGAAUCAAAAUCAGUGAUGGCAACCGUACUGCUUUGUCUGCCAGCUGUCCCAGCCAGGGGGACUGCUUAGUGUAUCACAAGGAAACCCUUGGUUUUGUUUGUAUCUACUGUUCCACGGGGCUAAAUUCUUCCUGCUGUGGGGAAUUCUUUCAUCAUAGUGAAGAAAACUGAUCAAACUUUAGUUUUCCUGAUUACCACGAAGUGAAAAGGAGUGUCGUUAUUUUUUAAAGAAUCUGAUUCAUUUGUGCAAUCUGCUCUUUCUGAUUUACCGCUUCUAUUCCCCCUGUCCUUCUGUUCCAAUGAUCGCAGCCCCAUCAGGCAGUGAUAAUGGUGAGCACCAUGGGCCGCUGCAGAUUUAAACAGGCACCGCUUCCUUUGUGCGCUGCUUUUUAAUGAUCACCAGGAUGCACAUUUAUAGUCCCAUCUUUGCUCUAGAAACUAGCCCAUAACACUAAACGUAUAUCUAGCGAUCAGUCUUGUUGGAUAAGAAAUGGUGUAUUUUGUGAAAGUAGGAUGGGAAAUAGAACGCUGAGCUUAAGCUGACCAAUUUUGAUGAACUUUCAAUGUCAAUUUUCCUUUAAUAAAGAACAGAUUCCAUUUUGCAAACUUGAAAAUGUAGGAGUAGGAGAGACGAAAGAUAAAAGGAAGCAUUUAGAAAUGUUUUACUUUGCCUUUUAAUUUUGGAUGUGGUUUUCUGUAAUUAUUUUUAAUUAGUUAUGCUCAAAAUUUAAAACCUAUGACUAUUCUGUGGCUUGAUACAGAUGGAAUGUCACAUUAUCAUCACAUGGUGAGGCAUGAAAUUUAUUUACUUUACAUAAACAAUCUCUACAUAAAACAACUUAAUACAAAACAUUCCUUGCUCAAUGGGCAGCAUUAUGCAGGACUCCGUAUAUCAUCUUGUGUGACCAGCAUAAAAAAUGGCAUCGUUGUUUGUCCAUGACUAGCACUUACAGUAAACAAAAUGUUUUUGAAUAGAAUGUAAGCAAACUGUAAAACAGCUGCCAAGAGAUGAAAUCUAGUCAGUAUGCUGCCCUCCAAAACAUGCUUUAUGUGUGUUGAGAAUAAUAAAUGUGUAGGUUGCGAUAUGCAUAUUUUAAGGGAAAGUUUAAUCGUUUCUGUGUUUGAAGGAGUGAAGACAAUAUUCUAAAAAAAGAAAACUACUGAAGCUGGUUGUUACAAACUGUAUUAAUAAUUUCUGUUUCCCCAAAAGAUAAACGCUGACAUAAAUCAUGUCCGUGACUGUGCUGCCCAAUUAAGAAACAGUAAGAGAGUGUUGGAGAAGAUCAAAUAGAGCAUUAGGGAAAACUAUUUUCAGACUGUGUCCUGUAAUGAAAUAAAAAAUACUUGAUUUUUUGUCUUCUUGUUCAUCUGACAAGCCCAAGGCCAAAUAUGACCAUCCCUAUUAAGUUUAGUUCUGCAUGUUCCUAACUUCCAUACUAUUUUCAAUUUGAGUGACUCGAGUUUGUACUCCUGGCAACAGUGAUGGUUGCUUUCCAAGAGACCAGGUCAGGGUUAACUGGAUGGGUUUUCAUCUAACCCCACGUGAAAUUAGUAAUGAAAGCAAACUGGAGAAACUAGAGGCAAAGUACUACUGAGUUCCCAUUCGUCUCUCCAGUUUUGCUGUCCUUUAUAGAGUAGACAGUGAAAACGUUGACCUCUUUGCUCAUAAACAAGUGAUUCCUUCUUUACUUUUUGUUUAGUUUAGCCUUCUUACCUGCUUCUGGGUGAUUUUUUUUUGUGUCCAAAACAACUAUGUAUAUAUCACAAAGCAUGAAAGCCCAUUUCAGAGACACUGCAAAAUAUAGAAACCUUCUCAAAACAGAUAAAAUGGGAAGUAAUGAGAUGGAUGCAGUGGUUGGACCUAGGUAUUAGAAAAGAUCUUUUUAUUUAACAAACCUACAGUCUUCUUUCUUGAGAACCAGUACCUGAGCUGGAUAUAAGAACGAACAACGCACUUUGUUUGUGCCAGUCCCACUUACAGGCGUUGGUGAGAGGGUUUUCUGAAUUUCAGUUCUUCCUUAAUCUGUUUGGGAAAAGCUGCUAAUAGUG